GUGGGGAAUAUUGGACAAUGGGCGAAAGCCUGAUCCAGCCAUGCCGCGUGAGUGAUGAAGGCCUUAGGGUUGUAAAGCUCUUUCAGUAGGGAAGAUAAUGACGGUACCUACAGAAGAAGCCCCGGCUAACUUCGUGCCAGCAGCCGCGGUAAUACGAAGGGGGCUAGCGUUGUUCGGAUUUACUGGGCGUAAAGCGCACGUAGGCGGAUUGGUCAGUUAGAGGUGAAAUCCUGGAGCUCAACUCCAGAACUGCCUUUAAUACUGCCAGUCUAGAGUCCAGAAGAGGUGAGUGGAACUCCUAGUGUAGAGGUGGAAUUCGUAGAUAUUAGGAAGAACACCAGUGGCGAAGGCGGCUCACUGGUCUGGUACUGACGCUGAGGUGCGAAAGCGUGGGGAGCAAACAGGAUUAGAAACCCUAGUAGUCC
rnacentral:rRNA from 1 species